rnacentral:tRNA from 2 species
GCACCCUUAGCUUAGCUGGAUAGAGCAUUAGACUACGAAUCUAAAGGUCGGGAGUUCGAAUCUCUCAGGGUGCGCCA